UGGGGAAUAUUGCACAAUGGGGGAAACCCUGAUGCAGCGACGCCGCGUGAGCGAAGAAGGUUUUCGAAUCGUAAAGCUCUGUCCUAUGAGAAGAUAAUGACGGUAUCAUAGGAGGAAGCCCCGGCUAAAUACGUGCCAGCAGCCGCGGUAAUACGUAUGGGGCGAGCGUUGUCCGGAAUUAUUGGGCGUAAAGGGUACGUAGGCGGUCUAUUAAGUCAGGUGUGAAAGCGUGAGGCUUAACCUCAUUAAGCACUUGAAACUGAUAGACUUGAGUGAAGGAGAGGAAGGUGGAAUUCCUAGUGUAGCGGUGAAAUGCGUGGAUAUUAGGAGGAAUACCGGUGGCGAAGGCGACUUUCUGGACUUUUACUGACGCUCAGGUACGAAGGCGUGGGGAGCAAACAGG
rnacentral:rRNA from 1 species